AUGGCAAUUUUUUCCAGACUUGUAAACCCACAGGCAUGUGGACUCUGCAGCCAAGUUGAAUUCUGAGUCUGUUGCUGUGAAUGCACCUGAAGAGGCUAUCUCCUUGGUUACUUGGAUCAUGUGCUAUGAGGGCAGAGAAAACCAGAUAGCUGGGAUAACCACUUCCCUUCAAAUAGAGGAGACAGCUGAGUUCCCCAGAGGGGGUAUCUGAAGCACAGGACAAAAUAAUUUGUGGUGUCACCGAGUCACUGGAGAACCAGAGAGCCACCAUCCCACCAAACCUUCCUCACCAAGAUGCAGGUGAAGCAGAAGGUACAGACUGACUAGUCAACUACAGGAAAUGACCAUUGAAAGAAAUUAACAGUGAGAUCGCCUGAUCUUUAUCACAGAAGAGAGCAUGAAGAAUAGGUCCCAUCAUAGAGAAUUUGUUUUUGAAGACAGGAGAAACAUCUUCACAGACUCCGGAGGGUACACACCUGUGGAGUAGACACCAAGGAAAUUCUUAGACUUCUAUUUCAGCAAGCCUCCUGAGAGAGCUCAUGUACGUCCAACUCCCAUCAUCUGAACAGCCUACCUCUGCUGGCCUAGGGUCAGAAUAGCUGUAAGUAAAUUGUUUGCAACUCUGUGGGUUUGGUCCU